UACGUAGGUGGCGAGCGUUGUCCGGAUUUACUGGGCGUAAAGAGCGCGCAGGCGGUCGUCCAAGUCGCGUGUGAAAGCCCCCGGCUCAACUGGGGAGGGUCACGCGAUACUGAUCGACUCGAAGGCAGGAGAGGGAAGCGGAAUUCCCGGUGUAGUGGUGAAAUGCGUAGAUAUCGGGAGGAACACCAGUGGCGAAGGCGGCUUCCUGGCCUGUUCUUGACGCUGAGGCGCGAAAGCUAGGGUAGCCAAACGGGAUUAAGAAACCC
rnacentral:rRNA from 1 species